GACUGGAUAGCCUAGCAGUUAAGGCAUCACAUACAAGUUGUGUACUUGAGGGUCCUUGGUUCAAAUCCAAGUCUAGUCA
rnacentral:tRNA from 2 species